rnacentral:rRNA from 1 species
CUAGUCUUAUCGGUGGAUCACUCGGCUCGUGGGUCGAUAAAGAACGCAGCCAACUGCGAUAAGUAGUGUGAACUGCAGAUACCUUGAACAGAGAACAUUCGAAUGCACAUUGCGCCAUUGGAUUAACACCCAUUGGUACGCCUGGUUCAGGGUUGUUA